GAUGAACGCUAGCUACAGGCUUAACACAUGCAAGUCGAGGGGAAACGACAUCGAAAGCUUGCUUUUGAGGGGCGUCGACCGGCGCACGGGUGAGUAACGCGUAUCCAACCUGCCCACCACUUGGGGAUAACCUUGCGAAAGUAAGACUAAUACCCAAUGAUAUCUCUAGAAGACAUCUGAAAGAGAUUAAAGAUUUAUCGGUGAUGGAUGGGGAUGCGUCUGAUUAGCUUGUUGGCGGGGUAACGGCCCACCAAGGCGACGAUCAGUAGGGGUCCUGAGAGGAAGGUCCCCCACAUUGGAACUGAGACACGGUCCAAACUCCUACGGGAGGCAGCAGUGAGGAAUAUUGGUCAAUGGGCGAGAGCCUGAACCAGCCAAGUAGCGUGCAGGAUGACGGCCCUAUGGGUUGUAAACUGCUUUUAUAAGGGAAUAAAGUGAGCCUCGUGAGGCUUUUUGCAUGUACCUUAUGAAUAAGGACCGGCUAAUUCCGUGCCAGCAGCCGCGGUAA
rnacentral:rRNA from 1 species